rnacentral:rRNA from 1 species
ACGCUCGACACCUACGGGAGGCAGCAGUGAGGAAUAUUGGUCAAUGGGCUCUAGCCUGAACCAGCCAAGUAGCGUGAAGGAUGAAGGCUCUAUGGGUCGUAAACUUCUUUUAUAUAAGAAUAAAGUGCAGUAUGCAUACUUGUUUUGUAUGUUUUAUAUGAAUAAGGAUCGGCUAACUCCGUACCAGCAGCCGCGUAAUCUGAGCGGNUGNAGC